UACGGAGGGUGCAAGCGUUGUUCGGAAUCAUUGGGCGUAAAGCGCGUGUAGGCGGCUUGGCAAGUCAGUUGUGAAAGCCCGGGGCCCAACCCCGGAAUUGCAUCUGAAACUGCCUGGCUAGAGUCCCGGAGAGGAAGGCAGAAUUCCCGGUGUAGGGGUGAAAUCCGUAGAUAUCGGGAGGAAUACCAGCGGCGAAGGCGGCUGUCUGGCGGUGCACUGACGCUGAGGCGCGACAGCGUGGGGAGCAAACAGG
rnacentral:rRNA from 1 species